rnacentral:rRNA from 1 species
CAAGGAAUUUUCGGCAAUGGGCGCAAGCCUGACCGAGCAACAUCGCGUGGAGGACGACGGCCUUCGGGUUGUAAACUCCUUUUGGGAGGGAUGAAAAUGACAGUACCUCCCGAAUAAGCCCCGGCUAACUCCGUGCCAGCAGCCGCGGUAAGACGGAGGGGGCAAGCGUUGUCCGGACUCACUGGGCGUAAAGGGUGCGUAGGCGGUCUUGUGCGUCGGCGCUGAAAUCACACGGCUCAACCGUGUGGCGCGUGCCGAUACGACGAGACUUGAGGCUCUGAGAGGGUGGCGGAACUCCUGGUGUAGUGGUGAAAUGCGUAGAGAUCAGGAAGAACACCCGUGGCGCAAGCGGCCACCUGGCAGAGUUCUGACGCUGAGGCACGAAAGCGUGGGGAGCGAACCG